CCUAAUAGAUCCAUUAAAUGUAAUGAAAUAAAAAACAUACGUUUUUUCUGCUAUAAAUUAUAACUCGUACACAAAUUACAGUGAAAAUUAUACAGCAAUUAAAAUUAUAAUUAUGUGCGAUUAUCAACUUAAUAAUUAGGGAUGAAAAUGUCAAACCUAAACAAUCCUAGAAUAAUUAUUUUUAGAGUUACAGUUGCAUGUAUUUUGCAGGUUUUUGGUUGAAUUGCUAUAAUUUGGUCAAUUUUGGACUUAGAAAAAGAUGGUUUAACUACUUAAAUUCAUUAAACAAUUAGGCAAAAAAUAAUUGGUGAUUAAAAUAGGGGGUUACCAUUUAAGAAAAAAAAGUUGCACUGUGCAUGCGCAUGUCUAAUUAAGUUAAAAAAUUCAAAGGACAUAAAAAUACACAUUUUUAUGUCAUAACAACUGACCAAAAAACAGAAUUCAAAUUGCAGGACUUUACACAAAUUUAUUGAGUGUUCUCAGUUAGUGUUUACACACUGUAUAAAUAUUCAAAAUAGAUAAAAAUGGAUAAUAAUACAUCUUAAAUUAUUUGUACAUUUAUUUUUUAAAAUCCUAGAAGGGUUGGUUUUUGGUUUAACUCCUCCUUGAAAUUCAAAUGGAAACCUAAACUUUUUUUGAAAAUAUAAUAUGAAGUUUUUUUCAAAUAAAUUUUAUGAUUUUGAAUUUAUUCAAAACUAUGCCUGAGAGUGAUUUAAAGUUUUUAAAAAUUACAUUUUGACCGUAUACCAAUAAAUAGCUAACGAUUUCAUUUAUU